rnacentral:rRNA from 1 species
AUUGAACGCUGGCGGCAGGCUUAACACAUGCAAGUCGAGCGGGGGAAGGUAGCUUGCUACCGGACCUAGCGGCGGACGGGUGAGUAAUGCUUAGGAAUCUGCCUAUUAGUGGGGGACAACAUCUCGAAAGGGAUGCUAAUACCGCAUACGUCCUACGGGAGAAAGCAGGGGAUCUUUGGACAUUGCGUUAAUAGAUGAGCCUAAGUCGGAUUAGCUAGUUGGUGGGGUAAAGGCCGACCAAGGCGACGAUCUGUAGCGGGUCUGAGAGGAUGAUCCGCCACACUGGGACUGAGACACGGCCCAGACUCCUACGGGAGGCAGCAGUGGGGAAUAUUGGACAAUGGGGGGAACCCUGAUCCAGCCAUGCCGCGUGUGUGAAGAAGGCCUUAUGGUUGUAAAGCACUUUAAGCGAGGAGGAGGCUACUUUAGUUAAUACCUAGAGAUAGUGGACGUUACUCGCAGAAUAAGCACCGGCUAACUCUGUGCCAGCCGCCGCAGUAA